rnacentral:lncRNA from 1 species
AUAGGUGAGUUCAUGCUCUCCUUUGGUUGUUUUUAUGCUUUUUCUUCAAAUCCCUCAAGUUUUCAUGAGUUUUAUCCUUGUUUUGAAGAGUUUUAAGCUUAGAGCAAGAUUUUGGAGCUUGGAGGACUUUGGAGCUCUCUUUCUCUACAUCCCCAAGUUUGGGUCGCACCAACCCUCGAUCUUCAAGAGGUAAGUAUAGAUCCUCAUCUUUUACAAUGUUUUAAGUAAGUUUUAUGAAGGAUUUUUGGGGUAGAAAUGCAUGUUGAUGUUAGAUGUAAAAAAAUGUUAGGGUUAUGUGAGUUAUGAGGUAUUGUGUGUUGUUAUGCAUGUUUAAUGUGAUGUUUGAUGGGGUUUAGGCUAGUUUGAGACCCCUAUAUGUUUAUAUACAUGUUUAUGUAUGCUUGUGAGUGUUGUAGUUUGAGUUUGAAAAGUUUGGAAGGCUUUUGUGCAUGUAAGGGCUGAGUUCUGCCACUUCUGGAAGAACUCAGUUUCGGCAGCCGAAGGCACUUUCGGCCGCCGAACCCUGCCCCCGAAAGUUGGACUUUCGGCUCUGGAGGGGAGUUUCAGCCGCCGAAGGUGCCGCCGAACAUGCAUGAGUUUCGGCUCUGGAACCAUUUUCGGCCGCUGAAGGUGCCGCCGAAAGUGGCUGAGUUUCGGCUCUGGAGGGACUUUCGGCCGCCGAACCUGCCGUCGAAAGUGCCCUAUUCAGCCUUCUUUUGCAUGAUUUCUAUGAUUGUUUUAAAGUGUUUUAGGGGGGUUUUGGGGAGAUGUUUAGAGUAAUGUCAGAGUAUGUUUGGUCCCUCAUUUGAGUCCACCUGUGUAGGAUCGGAGCUGAGGAACCGAGGUGUUCAGCAGUGAGUCAACUACUCUAGGGUUAGUAAAACGUCAGCCAGAGGUGAGUAGAACUGAACUUUAUGUUUUAAA